UCUCUCUCUCUCUCUCUCUCGCAAUCAACUGUCACUUUCUGUUAGUGGGUUUUCGUUCUUGCCAUCAGUUUCACUCUAUUCACUUCCUCUUCAUUCAUUCUCAGCCCUUCACAGUUGCCAAGAAUUUGCAACUUUGCAGAGGAACAGAGAAACAGAAAGAGAGAAAAAUUAUGAAAUUAAAACAAGAGCCGUCCUGGGAUGUUCAUUUUAAAGAGGGAAGAGGCAAGGAGGCCAUUCCUGGAGUAGAACUAGUUGAGCUUUCUUUCGUCAAAAGAGAUAAUUCAUUAAAACCUAUCAGCUGAAAGC
rnacentral:misc_RNA from 1 species